GACCCAAACAAACCCUUCUGUCUCCAUUUCUCUCUCUUUCCCUCUCACGUUUUCACUCCCCCCUCUCUCUAACCCUAAUACGCCAUCGACGUCACCAUCAUUGCAGGGAGUCACCAUCGCCGCCAUCCAUAAUCAGUACCGCCGUCACCGUCGCCACCGUCCCUAAUCAGUACCGCCGUCGCCGUCUCGUCCACAGCCAACCAUUUGAGGCUAUGCCUAGAAAGAAGAGGUCAUCUUUUCAUACCGUUCCCUCUCUUACGCAUAAAGAUCAAAUAUCUCUAUCUAUAGUAAUUGACCUGAGUGGUCUCAAUUGUAGAUUUCAUCCUUGAAAUGCUCAAAGGUCCUGAGCAGGAAAUGCCUAUGAGUACUACCAUUACUUGUCUUCUCAUGGUGCUAGGUUCAGAGAAUCUGAAAAGCGAGCAACAUUAUGAGAUAAUUUUAGAGAAUACUGAAGCAAAGGCCAGUGCCAGUUCCAGAUGAGGAUGCACUGAGAAAUAGUGACAUUUCACUAGAUGACAAGUUGUUACCAUUUGUUUUGUAUCGUUUAUCUUCACUAUCUCAACAGAUCAUCAGUUCUUUGAAAAGGCGAGUCCUUAUGUAUGGUAGAAACUAAUUUUUACUAUCUUUGCCUUGCAACUGAGGAGAAGUCUAGAAAAUAUGUGUACAUGAAACAGUAUCACUGUCUCCAAGUAUUUCUUUUUAAUGAUCAUAAAGCAUAAUAGUUGCUUAUUACCAUUGUGAAUGACAACAGUUCUCUUUUGACAUGAGUAUGUUCUUUCUUUUAACUCUUCUUUCAAAUAGAUUUUCUCUUGUAAUUAUGUCUCUAGAAAUAACAACAUUCGCCCUACAUGAAACCCGGUCUUGCAGACAUGAAGAACGUCGUCGUGGUACCCACAUAGCUUCUGCUUCUAAGGUAAUCUUGCACAUAACUAUGGGUUUAUCUGUGCUUAACCGAAUAAAUUAAGAAGCAAUGUUCUGCUAUGACAGCUAUUUCCCAAAUAAUUCGCCAAUUCUUAUGAUUUUCGAUAGUGUUAUCUUGAUUCUUAAUGCAGUGAACUCGUGAGGGAAGGGCUACACUGGCUGCUCUGAAUGUCCUGAGGGAAAAUUAAAGGCUACCCAGUUUGGGGUAAUCCAAACAGCAUGGACGCAUUUUUAAAUGAGAAUUCACCGCCCUUGCUGCAUGCCUGAGCUAUAAAGAUAUCUAGCAGGAAACGAAAGAAUUUGUCUUUGAUCCAGAAAUCAAUAUCAACAUUCAAAGGCGGAGUUUCUUCGUACUCAGCCACCCGACACACAGGUGACAGAAGAACAAAUAGAGGAAAGGUGGCUUAAGAGUGUUGGUGGUCCCACUAGUUUAAUGUUCUGUGGAUGUUUGCAAAUGUUGUGAAUUAGUUUAAUGUUGUGUAGAUGUUUGCGAAUGUUGAAGUAGCUUAAUGUCUCUUCGAAAUGUUUGAAUGACGUUUUGAUUCAACUUU